UACGUAGGUGACAAGCGUUGUCCGGAUUUACUGGGCGUAAAGAGCGCGCAGGCGGUCGUUCAAGUCGAGUGUGAAAGCCCCCGGCUCAACUGGGGAGGGUCACUCGAUACUGAUCGACUCGAAGGCAGGAGAGGGAAGUGGAAUUCCCGGUGUAGUGGUGAAAUGCGUAGAUAUCGGGAGGAACACCAGUGGCGAAGGCGGCGCUCUGGGCAGAUACUGACGCUGAGGUGCGAAAGCGUGGGAGCAAACAGG
rnacentral:rRNA from 1 species